AGAAAAUGACAUCUCUAAUCAUUAAACUAUUAAAUACAUUACUCAUACAUACUCCAUUAACAAUUCGAAUAUCGAUUCCCGUAUUGGAAUAUGGGCAGUUGUCCUUUGGAACACAGCACGAAUAACCUGUGUCACUUAAAAUAUAAUUUCUCUAGAAAUUUUAAAAUUCACAUUCAAAAAUAAAUUCAAAAGCGACCAAAAUCAUGUUUCGGUAAUAUUUUAUCGAUAGAAAUAGAAUACAUCUUAUUUUUAGCAAAUAUUUUAUGUUUGAAAAUAUAGUUAAUACACCAUCCUUUAUUUAGAAAAGUUUUACGGAAUAAUAAUGCAAUCGGAAUUAGAUUUCAAAGAAAUUUCCAGUCUUCAAAAACUGAAGUAUUUUUCUGAAAGCGAGAAGGGCCAAAAAAGAUUUAAAUUCCUCAAGUUUGUUUAAAAUUCUUCUUAUACUCAUACUUGAUGACACAACUGCAUUACUGCCAAAAGUAAUCGUAUCCUGUGCCAGAGCACAGUCCCUUAGAAUGCCCGUAACGAAGAAAACUGCAAAUAGUAUAUAAGACAUAAUUGAAUGUUGCAAAAUAAUUUCCUGUACUUUACAAGAGCGCGCAGAGUUGAAAAAGAACAAGAUUUCAAACUCGCGAGCCUCCGUUGAUUUAUAUACAACCAGGAUACCUUGCAACGCAUUUUGCAGAAGCAUAUUAACUCGUACAUUCUUUCGGAACGAAAAUAAUGUGCGACCUUUCACAGAUAGUGGAGUCCUUUGCGCGUAAAUUGCUAAAUAAUUUGGCGUAAAUUACUUCCGAUCAUGAUUAUGUCUUCAUUUAUGUAUGACACAGAUGUUGUAAUGUUAUUCAAUUUUUAUACGUAGUAAAAUGUUCGAAGUGGAACGAAAAGCAAGACAGAACUUUAAGUUUCCUGGGACAAGAUCAAGACCAGAUAAGAUCAAGACUUAAACUUUAAACAUAUUUAAAAAUUGAUAUAAAAUCAGAAUUAAUAGCUUCCUAACUAAGUUGGUACUUGACGGACAAUGCCUAAGAG